CCAUUAUCUCAAACAAAGGUUUUGCAACGAAAUACUAAGGAUACCACUGCUAUUUCAAUGACUGCGAGCUUUCUUGAUAUUAUUGUUUUUUUUUCUGAAAUAAAAUGUAAAACUAUUA